UACGAAGGGGGCUAGCGCUGUUCGGAAUCACUGGGCGUCAAGCGCACGUAGGCGGAUUGUUAAGUCGGGGGUGAAAUCCUGAGGCUCAACCUCAGAACUGCCUUCGAUACUGGCGAUCUUGAGUCCGGAAGAGGUUGGUGGAACAGCUAGUGUAGAGGUGAAAUUCGUAGAUAUUAGCUAGAACACCAGUGGCGAAGGCGGCCAACUGGUCCGGAACUGACGCUGAGGUGCGAAAGCGUGGGGAGCAAACAGG
rnacentral:rRNA from 1 species